rnacentral:rRNA from 1 species
GUGUCAGCAGCCGCGGUAAUACGUAGGGUGCGAGCGUUAAUCGGAAUUACUGGGCGUAAAGCGUGCGCAGGCGGUUUUGUAAGCCAGAUGUGAAAUCCCCGGGCUUAACCUGGGAAUGGCAUUUGGGACUGCAAGGCUUGAGUGCGGCAGAGGAGACUGGAAUUCCUGGUGUAGCAGUGAAAUGCGUAGAUAUCAGGAGGAAUACCGAUGGCGAAGGCAGGUCUCUGGGCUGACACUGACGCUCAUGCACGAAAGCGUGGGGAGCAAACAGGAUUAGAUACCCUGGUAGUCC